GACACGUGACAAGGUCAACAACAAUUCUAAACAACUUGUAUGCACCCUCAUCUUCCCAAACGCGUAAACAACGCCCAAAAACAAUCACAAAGAAUGAUUCCAAUCUCGAACAUGUGAAAUUGUUCUCGCGCUUUCGUAUUGAUCCACGUAGCGUUCAAGGAAGAUCGAUCUAUCAAAUCCGUCUAUUUUUCUUUCCUCUUCUAGAAUGGAGCUAAACUUUCAGAAAAGGUUGUUUCUCUCAAAUGGUGAAAGAAUUUUGAGUUUUGAUUCGGGGGUGGGACUCGUUCUUAUCAAUUUUUCUUCUUUUCCCCCAAUUCCGAAACCUAAUAUCUUCCCAUAUUUACCUCCUCUUUUCACUGUGAGCGGGGGAAUUUCUUUGGGAGAAAAUAAUGUUUUUGUGAUAGACAUAGAGAGUUGAAUACAGAAAAAAUGAAAGGGAUGUUUGGAUGAUUUUUUUGUAAAAAAAGAGUUUCAAUUAGAUGAGACAUUAGAGAAAGAUUUGGAUAUAAGCUCAGUGCUUAGAGGAAACUGUACGUUUGAGAAGUUCUCGAAGAUAUUUGGUUCAGUCUUUACAUUUGUCCGCUUUGUUUUGUCCUUCCAAGUUUUUUGGGAUUCGUCGUUUCGGUGCACAAGUCGUUAAUAGCUCGUUGCUUUCAGUUAAAUUCCAGAGAAAAGUAUUAAUCCAACACGCGAGCCUCUAAGAACAAGAAUGUUGAUUGUCCCCGACACUUAUCUAAAAGUGUUGUGGAGAUUCAUGAACUAUACAUUCAGAAUGACAGUUCAAAAACACAUAGGUUAUCUCCGUCGCUGUUGGAAAUAAAGGAUUUGUCAACCCUAUUAGAACAAUGGUAAAGUUUUGGAACAGUAAAAACAUGGUAUUCUGGUUCGGGGAAGUGGAAAUGAUGCCGACUAUUGAAGCAUUCCUCAUAAGCUAUGAGAGUAUCGCCAAUUUCAACAAGAGGAAACGUCAACCAAAUACAGAUCUUCUAAAUAAAAAAAUAUGGAAUUUCACCGAAAUCAAGGAGAAACUGUAACUUGUCAAAGCGGAGUGGAUGGACAAACUUCUCGGCAAAAAUAUUCCCUUUAGAAAGCUAUAUUAUCGAUUUGGACGUGCAAGGGUUUACGAGAAAUUUAAAGAAGAGUUCGUCUCGAAAUAAAAAUUAAAGGAGACACAUCCUCUUGCCUUUCCAAUAUGCUUACUUGGAACAAUGGUGUUUCCUCAAGGGAAACUACUCUAGUCAUCCAAGUGUAGUAAUGAUCGUUCAUUCCAUCUUCUACGGAGUGGACUGUAAGUCGUCAAUCGAGUACUACACUUUGGUGCGUAUGAUCUUUAACGACAUCUAGAGAAUUUUAGAUAAAUAUCAAAGCGGAGAGCGUUUAUUUCAAGGAUGCAAUCUGAUAAUUUAACGGUGGAUGAUGCAACAUCUGAUCAAAAGUCAUAAUCCAAAAGAACCACAUCCGGUAAGACUGUCAGACGAACAUCAAGGUCAUGACUUGUGGAUGUACCAUAAUCAUUGCAACAGAACCGGAGAAGAAGACUUCAAGUAUCUGAGACUUCAGGGGUUAAUAGAAGAGGAUGUACAAUGGUCAAUAGACAGUGUAGUGGUGACGAAGGAUAUGGUGGUUCGAACGGAAAAGGUUCCUUACUUGGUAUUUGCUGGAUUAAGAGGAACUAGACCGCACUACUCCCGGUCGAGUCCUAAGGCUAGUAGGAGGGAAGCAAGAGCUACCCCAAAUCGCAGACAUGAAGAAAUUUGAAACAGAUCACAAAAAUGGACGAGUCACAUUUGCGGAAGAUACAUACAAAUUAUGGAGGUCUCAAAGAGUAUUAGGUGAGCCGGUACCGAAUAGGUUUCACCCUAAAUGUUCUAAGGAUUACAUGGAAUGGUUGAAGAAGACCCGUCACGAGAACUAUUGGGCUUAGUCUGACUGUUCCUCAUAUUAUUGCAGAUGUUGGUGCUAGACAUCAAGUUCAACUUAACCGACUUCAAGAAAGGUUCGAUAAGAAUGAGUUGGAGCAUCAACUCCGACAUUCUAUGGACGCCAAAGUUAUAUCUCAA